rnacentral:rRNA from 1 species
UACGUAGGGUGCAAGCGUUGUCCGGAAUUAUUGGGCGUAAAGAGCUCGUAGGCGGUUUGUCGCGUCUGCUGUGAAAACCCGAGGCUCAACCUCGGGCCUGCAGUGGGUACGGGCAGACUAGAGUGCGGUAGGGGAGAUUGGAAUUCCUGGUGUAGCGGUGGAAUGCGCAGAUAUCAGGAGGAACACCAAUGGCGAAGGCAGAUCUCUGGGCCGUAACUGACGCUGAGGAGCGAAAGCAUGGGGAGCGAGCAGG